rnacentral:tRNA from 1 species
GGUGUUGAGCCGGGUUUAACGGGCUACUUUGAUGUGGUAGAAUUCAAGAGUUAUAAUCUCUUUAACACCU